rnacentral:lncRNA from 1 species
GGGAAAGCAGGGGCCGCCUUGGCCGCGUUCCUCUCCUGGGCCACCGGGGUCUUGCCCACAGCGAGUCCCGCAGCACCCCCUGUCUGCGCAGCACCUGUUGACAGCCAGUGGGCGGCCAAGCCCGCUCGCGCGGACGCGUCCCAGGGCUGCCCCUCCCAGAGGCGCUGACCCCCGCCCGCCCCAUCGGCCGCCUGCGGGAGAGCCGCUGAGCCGCCCCCGCUCGCCAGGCGCGCGCUCCGCCCGGGCUCGGCCCACGGCCCCCACCUCCUGUCUGCCGCCCGGCGGGGGGAAGGUAGAGAAGGGGAGGGGACAAGCCGGAUCCUCCCGGCCGCCCCGGCCUUCCCUCUUCACCCCGUGCGGAGACGCCGCGCGUAGCCCCGAGGUUAGCGCGGAGCCCGAGGCGUGGGGGGAGGGGACGGGGAACAACCGGAGCCCCGCGGUGACCCCGAGCGGCCGAAUUGCCCCAGGCUUUGAGGAGCGGGGGACGAGCCCGAACAAGGUGAACUUUGGUCGCGGAAAACUCAAGCCAGGUGCCGGAAUCCGUGCUGCGGCGCUCCGAACCCGGGGCCAACUGCGCUCCGGGCUGAGGAGCGGGAGCCCCGCGGCCUCUCUCCGCCUGCGCCCGGGCCGCCGUCGGCCCGGAGCCCCCCGGCCCCGC